GGAUUACCUCAGUAACGGCGAGUGAAGCGGUAACAGCUCAAAUUUGAAAGCUGCCAACAGGCCGCGUUGUAAUUUGUAGAAGAUGCUUUGGUCGUUGGCCUAGUCUAAGUUCCUUGGAACAGGACGUCAUAGAGGGUGAGAAUCCCGUAUGUGAUUAGUGCCUCCGUCCGUGUAAAGCUCUUUCGACGAGUCGAGUUGUUUGGGAAUGCAGCUCAAAAUGGGUGGUAAAUUUCAUCUAAAGCUAAAUAUUGGCCAGAGACCGAUAGCGCACAAGUAGAGUGAUCGAAAGAUGAAAAGCACUUUGGAAAGAGAGUUAAACAGUACGUGAAAUUGUUGAAAGGGAAGCGCUUGCAAUCAGACUUGCGGGCGGUCGAUCAUCCGAGGUUCUCCCCGGUGCACUCGAUCGUCCUCAGKCCAGCAUCGGUUUCAGUGGUGGGAUAAAGGCUGUGAGAAUGUGGCUCUUCGGAGUGUUAUAGCUCACGGUGCAAUGCCGCCUACUGGGACCGAGGACCGCGCUUCGGCUAGGAUGCUGGCGUAAUGGUUGUAAGCGACCCGUCUUGAAACACGGACCAAGGAGUCUAACAUCUAUGCGAGUGUUUGGGUGUCAAACCCAUACGCGUAAUGAAAGUGAACGUACCUAAGAAGUCUUUUAGACUGCAUUAGGGACCGAUCUUGAUGUCUUCGGAUGGAUUUGAGUAAGAGCAUAGCUGUUGGGACCCGAAAGAUGGUGAACUAUGCGUGAAUAGGGUGAAGCCAGAGGAAACUYUGGUGGAGGCUCGCAGCGGUUCUGACGUGCAAAUCGAUCGUCAAAUUUGCGUAUAGGGGCGAAAGACUAAUCGAACCAUUGGGACACUACUAGGUGGUUAAGAGGCAAGCAGAUCUAGUCCGCCGGAGA
rnacentral:rRNA from 1 species